CCCAGACUCCUACGGGAGGCAGCAGUGGGGGAUAUUGCACAAUGGGGGGAACCCUGAUGCAGCGACGCCGCGUGGGUGAAGGAGCGUUUCGGCGCGUAAAGCCCUAUCGGCAGGGAAGAAGGAGGACGGUACCUGACUAAGAAGCCCCGGCUAACUACGUGCCAGCAGCCGCGGUAAUACGUAGGGGGCAAGCGUUAUCCGGAUUUACUGGGUGUAAAGGGGGCGCAGACGGCAGCGCAAGCCAGGAGUGAAAGCCCGGGGCCCAACCCCGGGACUGCUCUUGGAACUGCGCGGCUGGAGUGCAGGAGGGGCAGGCGGAAUUCCUGGUGUAGCGGUGAAAUGCGUAGAUAUCAGGAGGAACACCGGUGGCGAAGGCGGCCUGCUGGACGACAACUGACGGUGAGGCGCGAAAGCGUGGGGAGCAAACAGGAUUAGAUACCCCCGUACAA
rnacentral:rRNA from 1 species